AAUGCUACACUCCGAGAACAAUACCCGGCUUUGUACAAUAUUGCGCAUCACAAGGGUGAUACUAUCGCCACGGUUAUGGAAUCAUUUCCGCCAAAUGUGAUGUUCAGAAGAUAUCUAAUUGGUCCUAGACUUGAAUCAUGGAACACUUUGUUACACAGACUGUCCACGGUACAAUUGUCAUAAGGAACCGAUGAAUUUCGUUGGAACCUACACGUUAGUGGUAAAUUCAUGGUGGACUCUGUGUAUAGAGCUCUAAUCUAG
rnacentral:rRNA from 1 species